ACACUCCUGCGGGAGGCAGCAGUGGGGAAUAUUGGACAAUGGGCGCAAGCCUGAUCCAGCCAUGCCGCGUGAGUGAUGAAGGCCCUAGGGUUGUAAAGCUCUUUUGUGCGGGAAGAUAAUGACGGUACCGCAAGAAUAAGCCCCGGCUAACUUCGUGCCAGCAGCCGCGGUAAUACGAAGGGGGCUAGCGUUGCUCGGAAUCACUGGGCGUAAAGGGUGCGUAGGCGGGUCUUUAAGUCAGGGGUGAAAUCCUGGAGCUCAACUCCAGAACUGCCUUUGAUACUGAAGAUCUUGAGUUCGGGAGAGGUGAGUGGAACUGCGAGUGUAGAGGUGAAAUUCGUAGAUAUUCGCAAGAACACCAGUGGCGAAGGCGGCUCACUGGCCCGAUACUGACGCUGAGGCACGAAAGCGUGGGGAGCAAACAGGAUUAGAUACCCGGGUAGUCCCA
rnacentral:rRNA from 1 species